rnacentral:tRNA from 1 species
GGGGAAGGAGUUCAGCGGAGAGAGCCCUCGGCCGGUAAGCGAACGAUUCGGGUUCGACUCCCGGCUACUCUG